GUGAACGCUGGCGGUAGGCCUAACACAUGCAAGUCGAACGGCAGCACAGUAAGAGCUUGCUCUUACGGGUGGCGAGUGGCGGACGGGUGAGGAAUACAUCGGAAUCUACUUUUUCGUGGGGGAUAACGUAGGGAAACUUACGCUAAUACCGCAUACGACCUACGGGUGAAAGCAGGGGAUCUUCGGACCUUGCGCGAUUGAAUGAGCCGAUGUCGGAUUAGCUAGUUGGCGGGGUAAAGGCCCACCAAGGCGACGAUCCGUAGCUGGUCUGAGAGGAUGAUCAGCCACACUGGAACUGAGACACGGUCCAGACUCCUACGGGAGGCAGCAGUGGGGAAUAUUGGACAAUGGGCGCAAGCCUGAUCCAGCCAUACCGCGUGGGUGAAGAAGGCCUUCGGGUUGUAAAGCCCUUUUGUUGGGAAAGAAAAGCAGCAGGUUAAUACCCCGCUGUUCUGACGGUACCCAAAGAAUAAGCACCAGCUAACUUCGUG
rnacentral:rRNA from 1 species